rnacentral:rRNA from 1 species
UACGUAGGGUGCAAGCGUUAAUCGGAAUUACUGGGCGUAAAGCGUGCGCAGGCGGUUUUUUAAGUCCGUUGUGAAAUCCCCGGGCUUAACCUGGGAACUGCGUUUGAAACUACAAGGCUAGAGUGUAGCAGAGGGGGGUGGAAUUCCACGUGUAGCAGUGAAAUGCGUAGAGAUGUGGAGGAACACCGAUGGCGAAGGCAGCCCCCUGGGCUAACACUGACGCUCAUGCACGAAAGCGUGGGGAGCAAACAGG